UAAUACUGGAAGUGGAAUAUAAGUGAGGCAAUAGUAGUAGUGGAGGUAGUGUAAGGACAAGAGAGUAAAAGAAUAAAAAAGAUCAAUGAAGGAGAGCUAAAGGCCCACGAGGAUGGGACCAAAAGCACAAAAGAAAAACUCGUAGGACAAAACUCACAUAGGGAGAAGAAAGGUAAAGCCUAGAUGAGUUCUGUCCUAUGAGGAUAUCGAACCAGGUGUGGUAGCCGGGCAGAGGGAAAAUAUUACGUUUUCUCUGGUCCAGCACCAGAGAAAACGUGUAUGAAUCUCAUUACUUCUCCCUUCGUUUAUGAUGGCAUCUAAA